rnacentral:rRNA from 1 species
UACAGAGACUGCAAGCGUUAUUCGGAUUCACUGGGCGUAAAGGGUGCGCAGGCGGUUGGGUGUGUCAGAUGUGAAAUCCCGGAGGCUUAACCUCGGAACUGCGUCUGAAACUACUCGACUAGAGUACUGGAGAGGGAACGGAAUUCACGGUGUAGCAGUGAAAUGCGUAGAUAUCGUGAGGAACACCAGAGGCGAAGGCGGUUCCUGGACAGUUACUGACGCUCAGGCACGAAAGCAUGGGGAGCAAAGGG